UUUAUGGAGAGUUUGAUCCUGGCUCAGGAUGAACGCUGGCGGCGUGCCUAAUACAUGCAAGUCGAGCGAACGGACGAGAAGCUUGCUUCUCUGAUGUUAGCGGCGGACGGGUGAGUAACACGUGGAUAACCUACCUAUAAGACUGGGAUAACUUCGGGAAACCGGAGCUAAUACCGGAUAAUAUUUUGAACCGCAUGGUUCAAAAGUGAAAGACGGUCUUGCUGUCACUUAUAGAUGGAUCCGCGCUGCAUUAGCUAGUUGGUAAGGUAACGGCUUACCAAGGCAACGAUGCAUAGCCGACCUGAGAGGGUGAUCGGCCACACUGGAACUGAGACACGGUCCAGACUCCUACGGGAGGCAGCAGUAGGGAAUCUUCCGCAAUGGGCGAAAGCCUGACGGAGCAACGCCGCGUGAGUGAUGAAGGUCUUCGGAUCGUAAAACUCUGUUAUUAGGGAAGAACAUAUGUGUAAGUAACUGUACACAUCUUGACGGUACCUAAUCAGAAAGCCACGGCUAACUACGUGCCAGCAGCCGCGGUAAUACGUAGGUGGCAAGCGUUAUCCGGAAUUAUUGGGCGUAAAGCGCGCGUAGGCGGUUUUUUAAGUCUGAUGUGAAAGCCCACGGCUCAACCGUGGAGGGUCAUUGGAAACUGAAAAACUUGAGUGCAGAAGAGGAAAGUGGAAUUCCAUGUGUAGCGGUGAAAUGCGCAGAGAUAUGGAGGAACACCAGUGGCGAAGGCGACUUUCUGGUCUGUAACUGACGCUAAUGUGCGAAAGCGUGGGGAUCAAACAGGAUUAGAUACCCUGGUAGUCCACGCCGUAAACGAUGAGUGCUAAGUGUUAGGGGGUUUCCGCCCCUUAGUGCUGCAGCUAACGCAUUAAGCACUCCGCCUGGGGAGUACGACCGCAAGGUUGAAACUCAAAGGAAUUGACGGGGACCCGCACAAGCGGUGGAGCAUGUGGUUUAAUUCGAAGCAACGCGAAGAACCUUACCAAAUCUUGACAUCCUUUGACAACUCUAGAGAUAGAGCCUUCCCCUUCGGGGGACAAAGUGACAGGUGGUGCAUGGUUGUCGUCAGCUCGUGUCGUGAGAUGUUGGGUUAAGUCCCGCAACGAGCGCAACCCUUAAGCUUAGUUGCCAUCAUUAAGUUGGGCACUCUAAGUUGACUGCCGGUGACAAACCGGAGGAAGGUGGGGAUGACGUCAAAUCAUCAUGCCCCUUAUGAUUUGGGCUACACACGUGCUACAAUGGACAAUACAAAGGGCAGCGAAACCGCGAGGUCAAGCAAAUCCCAUAAAGUUGUUCUCAGUUCGGAUUGUAGUCUGCAACUCGACUACAUGAAGCUGGAAUCGCUAGUAAUCGUAGAUCAGCAUGCUACGGUGAAUACGUUCCCGGGUCUUGUACACACCGCCCGUCACACCACGAGAGUUUGUAACACCCGAAGCCGGUGGAGUAACCUUUUAGGAGCUAGCCGUCGAAGGUGGGACAAAUGAUUGGGGUGAAGUCGUAACAAGGUAGCCGUAUCGGAAGGUGCGGCUGGAUCACCUCCUUU
rnacentral:rRNA from 1 species